GGGACAGCGAGCCGCCUCCCGUUCCGCCCCGCCUUCGCCCCAGCCACUCAGGACCGCGGGAAGCGGAGAGGCGGCCCUUAUCCCGGCAACAGCAGCCACAGGGAGCAGCGCGGGGGUGGCAGGCCAUGCUGGCUCGGCUCCGCCCCGCCCAUCCUCACAUCCCUGUCCUGUCACAAACCACCCUGACCCCGUCCGAGUCCCUCCCUGCCCUCAACUUGCCUGUCCCCACAGAGCCCUGCUACAAAGCAGCGCGUCCGGGCCCCUCGUCUCUCCUCCCAUCGCUGCCACACACACACACCCGGCCCCAUCCUCUCCCAUCUAUCCCCAAAACCACCCACCCCCAUCAGAUCCCGUCUCUGGCACAAAUAUCAAGUUAUUCCCAGAUCCCUCCCCAUUCCAACAGAUCUGUCCGCAAAUUCCAACUCACCAGAUCCCUCUCCAUGCUUACCAUAUUGCUUCCAUAUCAGAUCCUUUAUCAACCUAUCCCCACCAGAUCCUGCCACAAUUUAUCAAACCUUCCCCAAUUUACCAUUACUCAUCCCAUCUCCACCAGAUCUGACAGAUCCCUGCCUGCUUAAUCUCAGCAGAUUCCAAUGUACCAGAUCCAUUUUCCCCAUCCCAAUAUAUCACAACCCAGCAGAUUCACUGGAUACCUUCCCAGCCAAUCCUGCCACACCCCAACUGAUCAGCUCCUUAACAGAUCGUACUAGAUCCUUCCCCACCCAUCCCACCAGAUCCCUUCACCAUCACACCCCACUAGAUCCUUCCAUGUCCCAUCAAAUCCCUUCCCACAUCUCUGAGCUAAUUUAGCAACCCUCACAGGAGUUUCUAAUAGAAUUGGAGAGGAAAAUGAAUCUGUCACUCCCACCAGAUCUCACCCCACAGCUGUUAACUAAUAUGGCAGCUACCAUGGAAGCACCAGAAAUCCUGUGCUGUUUAGCUGUGGAACAGUUCUGUAGCUUGCAAUAUGAAGCUGUACAUCAAGGCAUAUAUGGACCCUAUCUCAAUGAAGAAGUGUGCAUGGUGCAGUUUUGCUGCCUGUUUUCACAGAAGGCACAACAUUUUUCCACACGGGCAUAUCAAUUCUAAUGGCAGUGCUGUGGCUAGGAACAUUGCUGCAAUGCCCUCCAGAUUCCUGAGGAUUUGCAAAACAACCAGCAGUCUCCACCCUAACUCCGAUUGUCUUGAGGUAAGUGGUGUGUUUGUCAAGGUAGGAGAGGGAAUGCAAGCCAGUAGAAGCUUCCCUGCCAGGACCUGCUCUGUCCACAGGAAGAAGUGAGCUGCCUGUUGCCUCUCUCCCCAUUAUCUCUUCCAACAUCUUGAAACUGCUGUUUUCAGAAGGAGGUGAAGGAGGCCACUGGCAGCCUUCCCAUCUCUGGAAGAAUGAGCAAGGCUCUCCCGACAACACUGUAGUCUAGAGAUGGGGAGAAAGUUCUUGUUUGCCUUUUAGCUGCCAAGGAGCUCUGCUGCACACACAGCUAUGCAGCAAGUAUCUUUUGUUUGAAUAUACUUCAGAUUAAGUAAUUACAGCAAUGCACAAUGUACCCUAGAAAAUUAGAAAGGUUGAAAAUGUGUUUUUUGUUAAUAUGCACACACAAAUCAAAAUCAACAGGAAAAUGAAUAACCUAUUUGGUGGUACAAUGUACCAACAAAAUAGUGUAAUAAAAAUGAAAUUAUUUAAAGUAAUAUUCCGAUCAUACAGUCAUCACUGAUUUAGUUUCCAAUUAUACAGAGGUAAUUGUAUUAAGGAACUGCCUCAUUCACUGCUUGCUGAGGAAAUGCCUGAGUGUUUUAAUGUCCUGGCAUCUGCAGGUAAUAAAUGAUCUAAUCUGCACUCCUUACCUGACUGGAAUCCUAAUUCUUGUUUUACUUCAGGUGACCUAGGGCAUAUAUUAGACAGCAUCAGUAUACCUGAGGAUUUAUGACCUGAUUGGCUACAAAUGGAGUUAUUCAGGAAUAGCUGUAUUCCUGAAUAACUCUCUGUGUAAGGGUAUGCCUAUACUUCCCGCCGAAU